rnacentral:rRNA from 1 species
UACGGGGGGGGCAAGCGUUGUUCGGAAUUACUGGGCGUAAAGGGUUUGUAGGUGGCUUGUUAAGUCAGACGUGAAAUCCCUCAGCUUAACUGGGGAACUGCGUCUGAUACUGGCGAGCUUGAGUGCAGGAGAGGAACGCGGAAUUCCAGGUGUAGCGGUGAAAUGCGUAGAUAUCUGGAGGAACACCGGUGGCGAAGGCGGCGACCUGGUCCAUUACUGACGCUGAGGCGCGACAGCGUGGGGAGCAAACAGG